GGGAUAUUAUAACAUCUAAAUGUUCCAUAAUUAAACUGAAAAUGACUAUCGACUUUUACUCAGACAUUGGGUGUUCAUUUCUGUUACAUGUUUUUGAAAAUGUAGCCUGUUAUGAUAAAACAAAAGACAACACCGAAAAAUGAAAAAGAGAAACACACUUUAAAAUGGAAAAGACGAAUUUGAAUGAUUCGUAUUACAUUGGGAUUUAUAUUUAACAACAUUGCUGCUUUUAUAAAUGUGUGUGUGGUGAAUAGAAACAUAUUCAUAGACGGAGAAGUUGCUCUGGGAUUUGUUUAUAACUAUUGUUUUGUUUAAUGUGAUAGCAUACAUCACUAUUGAAGUAGUUUUUUGGAUUGGUUUGUUGUAUGCUGAUGACGAUCCGAAUCACAAAGAAAUAUUGACCUGUAUUAUAUUGUACAGAAUAUAUGAAAUAAAAUUUGAUAUUUUAUUGUUUUUCUACAGUCUGGUUUUAUCAAACUUGGAAAUGACAGAGUUUACAACCGCCACAACUGUACUUGGUUGUUUAUACAUAGUUAUAAAUAUCAUUUUACUUGGAAGGAAUUGUUAUGACUUGCUAAAGUUAAACAAAAAACUCACGUACAAAAAAAGUUAUUAUUUGUAGUGUUCUGCUAUGUGUCGUGCCUUUCACCUGUUAUAGGAAUUGCAAUAUUGAUUUUUGUAUUUUAUACACCAUUAAAAAAGGAAAAUGAUCGCAUUUAAAUUAAUUUAGUUUUUCAAUGAAUAAAUAUCAAUUUGUGCAUAAUAUUUAUUGAAAUUGUUGAUAUUGUAAUCAUAUAGUAUACCGUAAGCUUGAACAAUGUGUUUUCAACUCGUUAUGGUAGUUGUAAAGCUCUAAGUUAACCUCUAAAGGGAAACGUCAUAUACAUUACUGUUGAAUAACUAUAUGUUUUGUGUCUUUUAUAGAUCAGAUGUUAAUUGGUCAAA
rnacentral:lncRNA from 1 species